rnacentral:rRNA from 1 species
CAGCCGCCACGGUAAUACGUAGGUGGCAAGCGUUGUCCGGAAUUAUUGGGCGUAAAGGGCUCGCAGGCGGUUUCUUAAGUCUGAUGUGAGAGCCCCCGGCUCAACCGGGGAGGGUCAUUGGAAACUGGGAAACUUGAGUGCAGAAGAGGAGAGUGGAAUUCCACGUGUAGCGGUGAAAUGCGUAGAGAUGUGGAGGAACACCAGUGGCGAAGGCGACUCUCUGGUCUGUAACUGACGCUGAGGAGCGAAAGCGUGGGGAGCGAACAGGAUUAGAUACCCCCGUAGUCCCUGUCUCUUAUAC